rnacentral:misc_RNA from 1 species
GAUCAUUACUGUGAUUUAUCCACCACACUGCGUGGGCGACACGAAACACCGAAACCGAACGCACGCCGUCAAGCAAGAAAUCCACAAAACUUUCAACAACGGAUCUCUUGGUUCUCGCAUCGAUGAAGAGCGCAGCGAAAUGCGAUACCUAGUGUGAAUUGCAGCCAUCGUGAAUCAUCGAGUUCUUGAACGCACAUUGCGCCCGCUGGUAUUCCGGCGGGCAUGCCUGUCUGAGCGUCGUUUCCUUCUUGGAGCGGAGCUUCAGACCUGGCGGGCUGUCCCUGUGGACGGCGCGCCCAAAGCGAGGGGCCUUCUGCGCGAACUAGACUGUGCGCGCGGGGCGGCCGGCGAACUUAU